rnacentral:rRNA from 1 species
UACGUAGGGUGCGAGCGUUAAUCGGAAUUACUGGGCGUAAAGCGUGCGCAGGCGGUUUUGUAAGUCAGAUGUGAAAUCCCCGGGCUUAACCUGGGAACUGCGUUUGAAACUACAAGGCUAGAGUGUGGCAGAGGGGGGUGGAAUUCCACGUGUAGCAGUGAAAUGCGUAGAGAUGUGGAGGAACACCGAUGGCGAAGGCAGCUCGCUGGGACGGUACUGACGCUGAGGCGCGAAAGCGUGGGGAGCAAACAGG